UAAUACAGAGGGUGCGAGCGUUAAUCGGAUUUACUGGGCGUAAAGGGCGCGUAGGCGGUGAGAUGUGUGUGAUGUGAAAGCCCCGGGCUCAACCUGGGAAGUGCAUCGCAAACUGUCUGACUGGAGUAUAUGAGAGGGUGGCGGAAUUUCCGGUGUAGCGGUGAAAUGCGUAGAGAUCGGAAGGAACGUCGAUGGCGAAGGCAGCCACCUGGCAUAAUACUGACGCUGAGGCGCGAAAGCGUGGGGAUCGAACAGG
rnacentral:rRNA from 1 species